AUGGGGGAUGCCUAGGCUCUCAGAGGCGAAGAAGGACGUGAUAAGCUGCGAAAAGCUACGGGGAGGAGCACAUAUCUGUUAAUCCGUAGAUAUCCGAAUGGGGGCAACCCACUAAGUUGAAGACUUAGUAUCCGAUAGGAAAGCAAACCCGCUGAACUGAAACAUCUAAGUAGGCGGAGGAGAAGAAAACAAAAGUGAUUCCGUAAGUAGUGGCGAGCGAACGCGGAAAAGCCCAAACCGUUGUUGUUAUGGCAAUAACGGGGUUGUAGGACCACAAUAUUUUAUGCUAAUCGAACUAGAAUUUCUUGGAAAAGUAGACGAUACAAGGUGAUAGUCCUGUAUAGGUAAGAGCGGUAAUAAAUAGUGGUAUCCUGAGUAGGGCGGGGCACGUGAAACCCUGUCUGAAUCUGGCGGGACCAUCCGCUAAGGCUAAAUACUCCUGAGAGACCGAUAGUGAACCAGUACUGUGAAGGAAAGGUGAAAAGAACCGUGAAUAACGGAGU
rnacentral:rRNA from 1 species